rnacentral:lncRNA from 1 species
UAUCAAAUGACAAAAUAAAAAAUAUUAAAAAUCAGAAAUAGAAACUAGAAAUUAUUUGGAGACUAAUGCAAUUGGUCCCAUAAUUUUUGGAUAAAAAAUGAAAGAGAUAUUGAUUUUUGAAAUAAAAUGGAAUUAAAGAAAAUAAAAAUGGAAAUUAAUAAAAUCAGAAAAAGCCUGGCGCGUUGGAUGAGAUUCAUUAGAUGAUGUGGCACAUCAGAUGGCUCACAG